AUGGAGCAAUCAAAAAUUAUAGAUACGUUGGAGACGUAUCAAUCCCUCUCGCUGGGAAGCGAGGCGCCCGACGGCUGGGUCAUGUAUUUCGAUGGCGCCUUCGCGCGCCAAGGCGCGGGGGCUGGAGCAGUGCUCAUCUCGCCCACUCAGGACAAGCUCUACUACGCCGUGCGGCUCUGCUUACAGCAAGGUGAGAAGGUCUCCAACAACAUUGCAGAAUACGAAGGCCUCAUAGCUGACCUGAAAGUUGCGGCAGCUCUGGGGGUGAAGCGCCUCACCGUUAGGGGCGACUCACAGCUCCUUAUCAACUUCUCCAACAAGGUAUACAAGCCGAAGGACGAGCACAUGGAAUCAUACCUCACGGAGGUGCGCAAGAUGGAGAAGCAAUUCCUGGGCUAG
rnacentral:rRNA from 1 species